rnacentral:lncRNA from 1 species
AAAUAAUAUAAAACUGUCCUAAGCACUCCCUACCCCCCCAAACCGUCUACCAAACAUCUCUCAGAACUCAGACAUAAUGCCACCCUCCGCCGACCGCCGAAAAUCACCCACGGCGACGGCUGGCGGCCAAUCUUGCCCAAGUUUACACCAAGUCAUCUCCUCACUCCCCUCUUUCCAAAUCCCCGUUCACUUCCCCUCAAACCCGGCCUGAGCUCCUCAAAUAUCCAAUCGAAGCGUCGCCACAGUUUCUCCGGUUGCGGCGCCACCUCCAAAUGCACCUAAAAUAACACUCCAUGAGCUCCUUCCCUCCCUCAUUCCAAAUCCUCACUAAUUCUUCGAAUCCCCUCGAAUCUUAUCGAGUAUCGGAUCAAUGGUGAACCCUAAAAUCCAUUUCAGAUUCACCCUGAGGUUAGUCGAGUGUUGAGAUAAAAAUAACACCUAUUCAGUCUCAGAUUGAGUCAAGAUUUGAGAGUUUGAAGAUUCAUCGCUAUUGUCUGUCCGAUGCAUUUCUUUAGGUAUCUUUCUUUGUCUUUUGUUUUUCAGUUUCUUUUCUCUCCCACUGUUAUCUUAUGCUAUUUUCUUCUUUUCGUCCAUUUUAUCAAAAUCAUCUUUGCAUGUUUCUUCUCAGUUCAAUGUAAGAAUUAAUUGUUGUUUUCCCUUUUAGUUUAUUUGGAUUCGUCGUAUUAGUUUUAUUUUUUGUUUAAGCUGUGUGCUAUAUUGAGACCAUUUGGUCCAAAGAUUUCAAGGUCAACUGGACCCUUGGCCCGUCUAGUUGAUCUGCCCAUUUGAAUGUUUGAACUGGAUUCUUGGGGCCGAAGGGAGGGGGAAUCAACCCAAGUUUCAAAGGGAUUCACUGGGUCAAUAUGACCCAUGUAAUUUUCUGAAGGUAAUUUUCAGAGUCUUAGAGGGUAAUUUGGGGAAAUUGGGAGUAGGGAAUCUUUUGGUAACUACUUAGGAAGCUUCCUAGAAGCUGAAAAAUAGGUUUACUUGGCAAGCAAGUUAAUACUUUAGGGACCAAGUAGUAAAAAUAAAAAUUAAGAAAGGAUUGAAAGUGAAAAUCUGAUUCUUAGGGCUGCUCUAAGUGCCUUGCCUAUAAAGGUAUUCUUACUUGAGAAGAAAGGCAGAAAGGAAGAGAUAAAAUCUCAGAAAAAAAUCUCUGAAGGUUCUUGAAGCAACUACAGAUUUUGUUAGGAUUUUGGUUAUUCUGAAUGGUCCACUUAAAAUCUCUGUAGCUGUGACGGUUUUUUUUUCUGAUUCUGGAUUGAAGAUGAGUUGAGUUUUGGGUAUUUUUUAAAGAUGGUUUGGACUAUUGUAGGAAAAUACCGUGUCAUUGCUGAUUUGAGCUGAUUUCACUGUUCAGUUGGCUUUACUGGUGCUAAUUUCUGCUGCUACUUACUGCUACUAUUCUUAUUGCUGAACUUCACUCCUUUGUUUCCUUUAUUUCCAUGUAUUGUCCUUCCCUUGACAUAUGAAAUGAAGAAGCCGAGUGUUUGUUUGAAAUUGGAAAUACAGGAGCAUUAGUUUUCAGCACACGUUUUGUUUUCUACAUUUUUGGAAAUCAUCAAAUGUCCUAGUUAGUUUGGUUCUUAUUGUGAUUAAUGCAUUUCUGUUUCAGUUUGAGCUCAUUUGCAAUUUUAAACGAAAUCAUCUGCUUCAAAUUUUUAGUGAUUUGCAUGAAUCUUAAUGUUCAAAUUUGUAUAAAAGGACUCUAAAAGACUGUUAUAGUGUAAUGUAGGUCAGAAUGUUUAAGUUUUAGUGUUUGCUUACUAUCUGUUGAUUUCGACAUCAUUAGUAUGGGUUCUAUUUAAAGGGUGUAAUUUAGACUCUUAUUGUUUCUUAGAUUAACCUAUAGGAUUGACAUUUAUCAUUCACAUGUCUCAAGCAAAAUGCCUUAAAUAGCAUGAAACUGUAUGUUAAAAAUAGCUCUAAAAAAAUCUGAGUUAAGCAUUGUUACUUGGUGUUUGUUUAAUUCUGAGUUUCUAAAAGGCUUCUAUGUUCGUCCCUGUUGGAAUAGUUAAAUCAGGAGUUAAAUUAGAAAUUUAUGUGCAUGAUUCUUGGGACCAAUUUUAAUUCCAAUGCGCUUAUGUGAUGUUUGUGACCUUGCAG